rnacentral:rRNA from 1 species
UACGUAGGGGGCUAGCGUUGUCCGGAAUCAUUGGGCGUAAAGAGCGCGUAGGCGGCUAGAUAAGUCCGGUGUGAAAGUCACAGGCUCAACCUGUGAAUGCCGCUGGAAACUGUCUGGCUAGAGUCCGGAAGGGGCGAGUGGAAUUCCUGGUGUAGCGGUGAAAUGCGCAGAUAUCAGGAGGAACACCAAUGGCGAAGGCAGCUCGCUGGGACGGUACUGACGCUGAGGCGCGAAAGCGUGGGGAGCAAACGGG